ensembl:lncRNA
CUGACAUCCUGCUCAUUAAUCAUAAGACGCUGUGCUCCUCACUGCUCCUCCCACAGGUGUCCGGCGCUCCACAGCUGACCUGGAAACCAAUGAUUGAUGACAUCAUUUAAAGGGCUGCUCCAGUUCUACGCUGCUCGGCGGUGUUAUUUAGCAACUUUUAAAUGCUCCAAUUAUGUAAAUUACAGGAAGAUUACUUCUCAUGAUUACAGUAAUGGCGAGGAGGAUCACCGUAAUGGAGGUGGACUGUAAAUAAGCAGAAGGCCUUCUUGACAAAUGAAUCCAUUAACAUUUCCCAGUGUCACCUGGCAAGGAGACUUGCCGUUUAUGAGGCAGAAAAAACAGGCCUGUAAAUCUGACGAUCGGCGGAGACCUGAAACCUGCGCGUUCAUGAUGCAGCACUUUAUCUGGCUCUGAAAUGGCAUCUUUAUCUGCUUAAAUUAAGUUUUGAUUCCUUGCCACAUACGGUGUUGCAAAUCACUUUUAACGCCGAUAUCGAGAGUGGCACUAAAGUCGGCCUGUGGCCAUGAAAAACUGCUUUUUAUUUUGUAGCAUCCUUGUGUUGUGCCGGUUUGCUUUAACCCCUGCAUAUUCUCUCAGCAUAAUCUAUCACAGAAAGAUGCUCUAAAAAGUCAUUGAGUCAAGGUUUAUGGGCAGAAUAAAUUUCCAAUUUAAAUUUGGUUUUACCGCUGUGUGUCAGAGAAGGAUUCCCUGACUUCUGUUUCACUUCAUAACGCCGGCCUGAAGUCAGCGCUUUAGAGACGCCGAGAUUGAUAGAGUUUUUUUUUCUCAAGGACGCCCAUCAUUCGCUCAGGCGUUAACGUCUUUGUUAAUGGAGGAGAAGGGCUGUCGCACCAAUGACUGACAGGUCUUUCAUCGUUAGCAAACGCUGAGUGACAGUUUGGGGGAAAAGCACCAAUGAGCUGAGAGAGGUGAGUUUAUGUUGAUGUUGCUGUUUGGGUUUGAUUAGAGCAGAGCUUCUCCAGCGGUUUGUCAUCAGGAUUUACACUGAAAAAAAAAAAAAAAAAACUGGGGUAGAAACAAUUCUCAUGUAGAAACUGCACGUAAAUUUCACAAAUCGUUACUAAGUAAUGGCAAUAACACAUUGAAAUAAUCAUGAAAUUUUGAAGUGGACAAACCAAAAUAGUAUUUUCUUGUAACAUGCACUCCAAUAAUUUUAUUUACAACAUUGAAAAUUUAGUUUUACAGUGCAGAUUUUACAUCAAUGGUCUCAAGCUCACAGCUCUGCAGAGUUCAGCUCCAACCAGCUCCAAAUCACACCUGCUUGAAAGUUUCAUAUAUAGUUUUAAUUAACUAUUUAACUUUAACAAAUUGUUGCUUGAAAUAAAAUAGACAUUAACUGAAAAAAUAAAGAUGUGCUAAAAAUAACAAGAAUUUUAAAUAAAAAUUAAUACAAACUAUAUAUAAACAAACCACUAAAAAUUACAAAAACACACAACAAAAUUACAAAAACUUUAACUAAAAUUAAAAAAAGCAUUUCCAUUAUUUAAUAAUACAGACACUAAAUAGACAUUAAUGAAAUAAAAUAGACAUUAUUGAUAUAAAAGAAAAUAUAAAACCUUUUUAUU